GAGUUUGAUCAUGGCUCAGAUUGAACGCUGGCGGCAUGCCUAACACAUGCAAGUCGAACGGGAGUAGCAAUACUCUAGUGGCGGACGGGUGAGGAAUACAUAGGAAUUUGCCCUUAAGUGGGGGAUAGUCCGGGGAAACUCGGUUUAAUACCGCAUGAUCUCGUGAGAGCAAAGCAGGGGACCGCAAGGCCUUGCGCUUUUGGAGAAGCCUAUGUCGGAUUAGCUAGUUGGUGAGGUAAUGGCUCACCAAGGCGACGAUCCGUAACUGGUCUGAGAGGAUGAUCAGUCACACCGGAACUGAGACACGGUCCGGACUCCUACGGGAGGCAGCAGUGGGGAAUAUUGGACAAUGGGCGAAAGCCUGAUCCAGCAAUGCCGCGUGUGUGAAGAAGGCCUUCGGGUUGUAAAGCACUUUAGGUUGGGAAGAAAAAAUUCGGGCGAAUAUCCCGAGUCUUGACGGUACCGACAGAAUAAGCACCGGCUAACUCUGUGCCAGCAGCCGCGGUAAUACG
rnacentral:rRNA from 2 species